GCCUUGUUUUCUUGUGAUAUAUUUACACAUAAUUUUCUUCACGGGGCAUGUAAAUUCCUUGAACCCGUCUUGUGAAAAUAAUGCCUGUUGUACUGUGAUUACGCACCCCAGGAGUGCAUUGUCACCCACCUCGAAGUCACCGUGGCAAGAUAGAUAGCAUUAUUGUACCCAUUUUGCAGAUGAGGUGACUGGAGCUUGGAGACGGCAUAACACCUCCCUAAAGCCACAUGCUCACUGAACACCAGAGCUGGGACUCAAGCCACCCCCCUGAGGCCAGCGCUGGAAAUGACCAGACUUGACCCAGGCAUGAUCCUUCAUGGGCUAGAAGACUGUCCUGAGGCUCCAUUAGUGUCUGGCCUCUGAAGCACCCUCUCUCCUUCUCCAUCCAUAGUCUUUUCCCUCACGGGGCCUCUAAAGCACAGUGAAGAAGACCUGGGUGACCUGGAGCGAGUCACAAUCUGAAGGGAGGAAGAAGCUGGAGAAAUUAUGGGAGAAAAAGUAUUCAUUUUGGGUAUUCCAAGGACAAAUUUUUCAAAAAUGGAAGUGGACUUAUGAGCAACAAGGGGCAGAGAAGAAAGCUGGAAGGAUGUUUUGGCUGGUUUAUGGACAACCAGAAUGAAGACUACGCUUCCAGCCUCCCAUGGACCUGAGGCCAAGUGGAAAUGAUGGAUCAACUUAGAGGCUGGGCUACUUCCCCACUUCCCACUGGCUAAAAUUUGGAGGUGGAGAUGAGCCGUCCUAGACCACCUAGACAAGGGUAACACCCUAAGUACUUUGGCACCAAGCCUUGGUCCCUUACUCUGUAGAACACCUACCAGCCAUAAGGGUUUUGUGGAGCACAGCUGAAAGAGAAAUGCAUUUCUGUCUUGUUUAA